rnacentral:lncRNA from 1 species
ACAAAUCAUAACAUUCUAGGACCGCCUUUCAAAUCUCGUACCACCAUAUGUUUGUCUCAUCUUAAAUACAUCAUUUUCAUAUGCCAUAUUCUUAUCCCCAUUUUUUGAUACAUUGCAUUCGAUACUCACCCAUACAUAACAUGUUAUUGUAAUGUUCCUGAAAUAAAAUUCAAGUAUAAACAGCAACAAAACAACAUCACAUGAAUAUACAAUCUAACAACCUAAUGUACAAUUACAAAACAAUUGCAACCAGUUAGAUGAAAAUGGUACAGAAAGUAAAACUUCCACUCACCCCUACUCUCGAAUCUGAUUUAUUCAUGUGGCUUCGACAACCCAAAUCCGGAACGUAAUCACUGCGAGAAGGGAUAUCAUCUGCAAUUUCUCGACGGAGGUUCUUAUUUUGUGGAACGACUGCAAGUCAUUCAGGGAGUUUGGGGUGGGUUUUGGGGGCAUCUUUGACAGUUGCGACGGAUCUGGAACAAGUUUCAAAAAGCCCCUUUUCAAAACGAAAUACAAAAAGAGAAGAACCUCUUGCUUCAAACCUAUUCCCUUUUUUGGAUGGUCAGUCUGUAAAACUAGUUUGUGUUGUCUCUGAAUAUGUUGCUGAACAAGUAAACGGCUAUGGCUUAGGAACCAAAAUAAAUAACCAAUGAAUCGAAGCACAAACUCACAUGGGUUCCCUCGAUUCACCUGUUCCUAUGUUUUUCUGUUUCGCCAGUCGGAGAUUCAUAUCUUCACCGCCCCAAAACCACUACAAAAGAAAGAGACUAUGAGUGUUCAGAAUCCAAUCGCCGAAAUCAUCUUAGGCAUAAAGGUACGUCGUUCUUACUUAUCACAGCCGACGAAUGGAAGAGCGGCGGCGGUGGGGGGGCGGGGGUGGGCUUGGGGUGUCUUCUCGCGCACAACUUUCCCGACUAACGUUUUUCAACAAACCCCUGAUUCUUCAAUUUCCAAAUUUUUUGUUACAAGAGAGAAAAUUUUGCUCCAAUAUAGGUG